rnacentral:rRNA from 1 species
GAUGAACGCUGGCGGCGUGCCUAAUACAUGCAAGUCGAGCGAACAGACGAGGAGCUUGCUCCUCUGGCGUUAGCGGCGGACGGGUGAGUAACACGUGGAUAACCUACCUAUAAGACUGGGAUAACUUCGGGAAACCGGAGCUAAUACCGGAUAAUAUAUUGAACCGCAUGGUUCAAUAGUGAAAGACGGUUUUGCUGUCACUUAUAGAUGGAUCCGCGCCGCAUUAGCUAGUUGGUAAGGUAACGGCUUACCAAGGCAACGAUGCGUAGCCGACCUGAGAGGGUGAUCGGCCACACUGGAACUGGGACACGGUCCAGACUCCUACGGGAGGCAGCAGUAGGGAAUCUUCCGCAAUGGGCGAAAGCCUGACGGAGCAACGCCGCGUGAGUGAUGAAGGUCUUCGGAUCGUAAAACUCUGUUAUUAGGGAAGAACAAAUGUGUAAGUAACUAUGCACGUCUUGACGGUACCUAAUCAGAAAGCCACGGCUAACUACGUG